CCUACGGGAGGCAGCAGUGGGGAAUAUUGCACAAUGGGGGAAACCCUGAUGCAGCGACGCCGCGUGAAGGAUGAAGUAUUUCGGUAUGUAAACUUCUAUCAGCAGGGAAGAAAAUGACGGUACCUGACUAAGAAGCCCCGGCUAACUACGUGCCAGCAGCCGCGGUAAUACGUAGGGGGCAAGCGUUAUCCGGAUUUACUGGGUGUAAAGGGAGCGUAGACGGGAUAGCAAGUCUGAUGUGAAAGCCCGGGGCUCAACCCCGGGACUGCAUUGGAAACUGUGAAGCUAGAGUAUCGGAGAGGCAGGUGGAAUUCCUGGUGUAGCGGUGAAAUGCGUAGAGAUCAAGAGGAACACCAGUGGCGAAGGCGGCCUGCUGGACGAUAACUGACGUUGAGGCUCGAAAGCGUGGGGAGCAAACAGGAUUAGAUACCCUUGUAGUC
rnacentral:rRNA from 1 species